rnacentral:lncRNA from 1 species
GUAUACAGGAAAAAUUCCUUUGUAUACGACGGAUUUAUCGGCGUGCCCGGGGAACGAGUAAUCCGGGGCGUGACACAUGUCAUUUGAUUACAUUUUAAUCAAAUACAAGUAAACUAAACAUUUUACAUUCAUUUACAUCCCAAAGACAUUCAUCCAAAACAUGUUAUUUACAUCUUUAUACAUCUCUAGUUCAACAUAC